GAUAAGGGAUAAUCAACAACAACAAACAAAAUUCAAUUUUUAUACCGCAAAUAUCAAAAGCCCCGCGUGAGUCCUGCAUUCCAAUCCUUUUUAGGGGUGAAUUUCGGAUAUCCAGCUUUGGGGAGCGCACGGACCUGUUCGUUAGCUUCUGUGUGUGCAUUUAGAUAUUUAUGGUCAUAGCUAGUGUACGUAACAAUAAUUUGUAAACACAGACAGUCUAUAUGUGGUUUGCAAAUCGACAGACAGUCGAAUAAUAAAAUAUCGUUUGCAACGCGCGUGUUCGUCCAGUCGGAAGAGAAACGAUUUUAAAGUUUACUCAAAUUCAUAAAUAGUGUUUGACGCACUCGGUGCGUUAAAAUUUCCCGCGAGGUUACAUAUUUUUAUUGUACGUUCGCCCUUACAUCAUAUACAUAUUAUUGGUAUAAUACGUAACGCGGUCGUAACACUGUUUUUUAAUAUAUAGGUAACGAUAUUACGGUUAUUAUACGACAUUGUAAUUAGUAGGUGCACCUAGAAUCGAGAUACGAUUAAAAAUGUAUAAUAUAUUUUGUAUAAAAUAUGUA